rnacentral:rRNA from 1 species
AUGCAUGUCUAAGUACAAACCUUCACAUGGUGAAACCGCGAAUGGCUCAUUAGAUCAGUUAUGGUUCCUUAGAUCGUACAACUCCACUCGGAUAACUGUGGCAAUUCUAGAGCUAAUACGUGCAAGAAAGCUCCGACCUCGCGGGAAGAGCGCUUUUAUUAGUUCAAAACCAAUCGGGGUCGCAAGAUCCCGUCCGUUUGGUGACUCUGGAUAACUUUGUGCUGAUCGCACGGCCUCGAGCCGGCGACGUAUCUUUCAAAUGUCUGCCCUAUCAACUUUAGAUGGUACGUGAUAUGCCUACCAUGGUUAUAACGGGUAGCGGGGAAUCAGGGUUCGAUUCCGGAGAGGGAGCAUGAGAAACGGCUACCACA